UUAGACUUAUGAUGCAAUAAAAAAUUUUUGGUUAUAAUUAAUAAUUUGUUUUUGAGUUUAGUUUUAAUUUUAUAAGGUGAAAUUUUUAAAAUUAUAAUAAGUUUGUAUUUGUUAUGUGAGGUUAGUAAAUUUAGGUUUUAAACUAGGAUUAGAUACCCUAUUAUUCUAAAUUAAAUGUAAUUAACCUUAUUAGUAGUAGUUAUGGUCUUGAAAAUUAAAGAAGUUGGCGGUAUUUUAGUCUAUUCAGAGGAACCUGUCCUAUAAUCGAUGGUCCACGUUUUUUUUUACUUAUUCUUUUAGUUUGUAUAUCGCCGUAGGUUGAAUAUUUUUUAAUAAAAGAAAUAUUCAAAAUUUUUUAUUUUUGAAAAGGAAUUCAGGUCAAGGUGUAGCUGAUGGGUAAGGAGAGAUGGGUUACAAUAAAUUUAUUUAUAUGAAUUAAUAAAUUAAAUUUUAUUAUGAAAGUGGAUUUGAAGGUAAUUGUGUUAAAAUAAAUAUAAUGAUUUUAGCUCUAAAAUAUGUACAUA
rnacentral:rRNA from 1 species